rnacentral:lncRNA from 1 species
AUGCCCUUUCCCNCCCGCUCCAGGGCAUCGGCGGCCGCCAAGAAACUGCAAAAUCUCUCGGGACAGUCCCGUACGCAAAUGCUGAAACGAGCCCUGACACUUCACCUGAAAAGGAAAAUCUGGAGGAAAAUAGAAAUUCACUGCCAGAGGUCGCCACUCCUGAGAAUUUUGCUGGAGAGCAGAGAUGCCAAGCAAAGCGAGAGGAGAACGCUGGGACACCGCAGCGGGAACCAGCGAAUAUCCAGGACGCAGGGGCCAAUGGCCAGGGAUCAGGGGAAGGUAAUGCAAAAUGCCAUCCGAUGUGGGGUUCCACUGGUGUCUAGCACAGAGACAGUGGAUGCAGGUGGUUAUUAUUUUAUUUUAAUUGGGUCAGACCCUUCUAUUCCAGGGAGCAGUGACUCAUCUCUCACCUGUGAGUUGCUGCACCUUAGAAACCACAGCUGAUAUCUUCCUGCCAGAGUUCUACACGUCCCAUGGGCCAUGGGGCAUCCAAGCACUGUGGGGCCUUCAGGCAGGAGGUUCCCAGCAGCCUCACGGGGUUGGGAGAUCCUCUGUCUUCUGCUCCAUGCUCAGAGGAAACCUCGCGAGGCUGCAGGGGCUCACAAAACCCAAAUUCUUUUCCUGCCUGAUUCGCCAAGUGCUGAAUCCCCCAACACCCAGGCAUCCACAUAAAAUAGCUCUCCUAAGCACCUGUUCCUGGGUGUUGCUGUGCUCAUUUCUGGUGAAAAUGGUGGAAAUGAGCAGGAGCCAGGGCUGGAGCCUCAGGCACCUCCUGUGAUGAGCAGGGCUGCAGGGGGGUCACUGCCUGUCCUGACCAUGAGCUAAAAAUGUACUGAGUAUAUACAAAAAUGAACAUAUUUAUUUCACCAUGCAGACUGCAGCCUCUUCUCCAAAGGAGGAGUAUUUCAUGGUGUGUUACUGGAGGAGAACAGCCGUGUCUCUCCAAGGGGGCUCUGGGAAUUAUUCCUUUCUCAUCUCCCACCACGGGCUCCUCCUGUCUCAUUGGCACUUUGGGACAAGGGUGGCUGCACCAGGAGCUGCUGAUGAUGCUCUCUGAGCUUUGAAGUGGGCUCUAAAUGAGCCAUGGGCUGUGCCCUGCAAGCAAAUCCUGCUUCCAUUAACAAAAGGAAAAAUAUCCAGAACAUUUGUCAUGGCCAAAUUAAUAUUUCAUAACAACUGCCUAGGCUGUGAGGAGGUGAAUAGUGGUGGAGGCUUUCCCAUUUAGAGCUGACAUCCAUAUUCCAGCUGUGCUGCUUUAGGAGCACACAAUAAAACCUAUUAAAGGAUCUCUCCUGGGCCCCCU